AACGUAGGAGACAAACGUUAUCCGGAGUUACUGGGCGUAAAGGGCGCGUAGGCGGCGCGGUAAGUCACUUGUGAAAUCUCUGAGCUUAACUCAGAACGGCCAAGUGAUACUGCAGUGCUAGAGUGUGGAAGGGGCAAUCGGAAUUCUUGGUGUAGCGGUGAAAUGCGUCGAUAUCAAGAGGAACACCUGAGGUGAAGACGGGUUGCUGGGCCAACACUGACGCUGAGGCGCGAAAGCCAGGGGAGCAAACGGG
rnacentral:rRNA from 1 species